GACGAACGCUGGCGGCGUGCUUAACACAUGCAAGUCGAACGGAAAGGCCCUGCUUUUGUGGGGUGCUCGAGUGGCGAACGGGUGAGUAACACGUGAGUAACCUGCCCUUGACUUUGGGAUAACUUCAGGAAACUGGGGCUAAUACCGGAUAGGAGCUCCUGCUGCAUGGUGGGGGUUGGAAAGUUUCGGCGGUUGGGGAUGGACUCGCGGCUUAUCAGCUUGUUGGUGGGGUAGUGGCUUACCAAGGCUUUGACGGGUAGCCGGCCUGAGAGGGUGACCGGCCACAUUGGGAUUGGGAUACGGCCCAGACUCCUACGGGAGGCAGCAGUGGGGAAUAUUGCACAAUGGGCGGAGGCCUGAUGCAGCACCGCCGCGUGCGGGAUGCCGGCCUUCGGGUUGUAAACCGCUUUCGCCUGUGACGAAGCGUGAGUGACGGUAAUGGUAAAGAAGCACCGGCUAACUACGUG
rnacentral:rRNA from 1 species